ACGAACGCUGGCGGCUGCUUAACACAUGCAAGUCGAACGGAGUGGCGAACGGGUGAGUAACGCGUGAGCAACCUGCCUAUGACAGUGGGAUAGCCUCGGGAAACCGGGAUUAAUACCGCAUAGUCAUAGAUGGGGUCGCGUCUGAUUAGCUAGUUGGUGAGAUAACAGCCCACCAAGGCGACGUUCAGUAGCCGGUAUGAGAGUAUGAACGGCGACAUUGGAACGAGGACACGGUCGAAACGCCUGCGGGAGGCAGCAGUGGGGAAUAUAGCACAAGGGGGGAAACCCUGAUGCAGCGACGGCGCGUGAACGAAGAAGGUAUUCGUAUCGUAAAGUUCUGUCCUAUGGGAAGCAGUACCAUAGAAGAAAGCUCCGGCUAAAUACGUGCCAGCAGCCGCGGUAAUAC
rnacentral:rRNA from 1 species